GAUGAACGCUGGCGGCGUGCCUAAUACAUGCAAGUCGAGCGAACGGACGAGAAGCUUGCUUUUCUGAUGUUAGCGGCGCACGGGUGAGUAACACGUGUAUAACCUACCUAUAUUACUGGUAUAACUUCGGGAAACCGGCUCUAAUACCGUAUAAUCUUUUGAUCCGCAUGGUUCAUUAGUGAAAGACGGUCUUGCUGUCUCUUCUAGCUGGAUCCGCGCUGCAUUAGCUAGUUGGUAAGUUAACGGCUUACCAAGGCAACGAUGCAUAGCCGACCUGAGAGGGUGAUAGGCCACACUGGAACUGAGACACGGUCAAGACUCCUAAGGGAGGCAGCAGUAGGGAAUCUGCCGCAAUGGGCGAAAGCCUGACGGAGCAACGCCGCGUGAGUGAUGAAGGUCUUCGGAUCGUAAAACUCUGUUAUUAGGGAAGAACAUAUGUGUAAGUAAAUGUGCACAUCGUGACGGUACCUAAUCAGAAAGCCACGGCUAACUACGUG
rnacentral:rRNA from 1 species